AUGCGCCAGGUGUCUUCCAGUCAUUCACCUUCGUUGCCAUGUCAUUUGCUUUCGUGUUGCACUUUGCCAUGUCAUCAUGUGCAUUUCAUCUACAUGUUUUUCAAAACUUGCAUCCGGUCACUUUCUCCGUUGUCCGUUUCAGAUUCCGACACUCCCACAUGCACCCGUUGCACCUCUCAGAUCUUGUUUCAUGAGCAAGAGAAAAAUGUUCUCAUAGUGGGCCGAAAGUUGAGGAAUGGUCUUGGUACAUCACCGGUAGACCGCCUAGCAAAUUUCGUUUCAUUUGGAGGUCGUUUGAUGCCCCAACGGUUAACUGCGUUAACCGUCAGACCCCUUUCUCUUUGCAGCCCAGCACCCCUCUACAACAGACCACUAGCCCAUCUAAACCCCCUCCAUGCUAUUCGUCGUUGGAUCACGAUCGCGUGGGCAAAAACCGCACCCCAAUAG
rnacentral:rRNA from 1 species